rnacentral:lncRNA from 1 species
AAAGAUGACAAACUGGAUCAGAGGGGAAAUGAUGCACUUCUCAAGCGAGUAUUAUCGGCCGUGCGGAUCAUUAUUCGUCAACCGACCCGCCUGAAAACAAUUUUACUAUGUGAUAUGGGCCUUGAAAACGUAACACUUAACACCAAUUUAUAAAACGAUAAAAUGAUGACACUGGAUUGAAGCCCAAAUCCAAAAACAACAAUUAAUUAUUCAAUUGGUCUCGAAUAGUCACGACUCUCAACCCAUAUUUCUCCGAAUUAAAUAUUUAAGCACUCUUCAAGUUAUGGCCGCCGUCGAUCAAGACGUUCAACCCGCUGAUAAACUUGGACUCAUCACUGACAAGGUACAGCGCCGCCUCCGCCACGUCAUCAACCUUCAAAACCGCUCCAUUCAGCCCAACCCUCUCCGAAACAAUAUGCUCAAUCAGCUCUAGAUCCGUUAUCCCGGAGGCCUCCACGGAGAACGGCGUUGCCACCCCGCAAGGCGACACGGCGUUGACCCUUAUCCCGUACUGUCCAAGCUCCACGCUCAAAUUCUUCAUCAGCCCCGCCACCGAGUUCUUCGCCGCCGAGUACGGGUGCGCCGAUAUCCCGUGCGUGUCGGUGACCGAGCUGGCCGUGAACAGUAUGCUCCCGCUCUGCCUCGGGAUCAUCGCCCUCGCCGCGUACUUCGCGGGCCGUAUUUCGCGGCAAAGCCCCCGCCGUAGACGUUGACCGCGAAGACCCGUUCCAGGUCGGAACGGUCGACGUCGGUUAUCUUGGCGAGAAUGUUGUUCUGGCCGCCUAUCCCAGCGUUGCUGUACAUGAUGUCCAGCUUCCCGUGGGCCGUAACCGCCGUCGCCACCGCGUUCUCGACGUCCGGCUCGCUAGAGACAUCGCAGUGGACGUAGGUAGUGGUGGCCGCUCCGAAUUCGGAGUUGAUCUGUUCGGCCAAGGCGUGUCCCCGGUCGGUUUGGAUGUCGGCGAUGACAACCUUGGCGCCGUGCUUGGCAAAAUGCCUGGCGGUCGAGGCUCCGAUUCCACUGGCUCCGCCGGUUAUCACGGCGACCUUGUCUUUUAACCUGUAAAAAACGAAUAAAAAGGAACAAUAUAAUUAAUAUCGUUUUAGUUCGUGAGGAAAUGAAACAAGCACAAGCUAGCUAUAAGCUAGUUUUGUGAUGAAUACCUCUGAGCAAUGGGACUGAGCAGCAGAGCAGAUCCUUUCAUUAUUAUUAUUAUUAUUAUUAAAAAAAAAAUCAUUCAUUUCUAUCUGUUUCCUUCCUUAUUAUUAUUAUCGAAGGCUUGAUUGCUGGUUACAAGGAUGGAAAUGUUCUUGAGGAUUUUGAACAAAUGGAACUUAUAUAAUUAAUCGAGCUUUUUGAUAGUUAGCUCAAUAGCCAGGCUGUCUUGUACAGUGACUGGCUGGCUGCCCGGCUGAGAUGAAUUUGCACGUUCAUAAUUUUUGAUGUCUAAUAAUAUUCAAACAAAGCACCCAUUAUAGAAAAAUAAUAAUUAUGGUGUUCAACAGUCGACAUAUUUGACGUUGUUCGUACGUUAUUGAUGUCCAUAUUUUGAUUUAUUAUGGUGGAUGGGGUGUGUUGAAUAUAAUCCGUCGGAGAUUUGAAAGACACAACAGGGCAAUUCAACAAACAGGUUUGAUCGAUUUAGUUUUGUGGUUGGUUGUCAAAACGCAGCACCUUGAAAAAUGGCACUUAGAAUAUAAGUCACACCUACCUCCUUAGAUCAUCCAGUCGGUUUACUUUAAACCCUAACCUUAGCAGUCAAAGAAUUAGGAGUGUUCAUGGUUCGAGAUCCAGUAUUCUUUGAUGCCUUGCCAGAAUGCCAGAGUAUUCAAAAUUUGAAGGGGGCAGGAAGUUUUUUCUCUUUGACCUGCUAAGUCUCAUCUUUUGCACUUCUUGUAGUAUGGGUUUUUGCCUGUGGUUUUGGGUUGAUUGCAAUUGUGUAAUCAUUUCUAAACUUACAUUUUAACGGAUUUUUUCUGGUUGAGUCUCUUUUUUUGAAACUCUGCUGAGUAGGAGAGAAAUUUUCGAACAGUGUUAAUAAUUUCUGGUGUUCUUUACUUUCAACUAUUUCAUUUUUAUACAGAGUAGUUGAUUAUGUUAUGUUUCACUGCAUUUAGAUCUCUCAUAUAUCAGGGUGCAGAUGUGAGGAAUAACUGAAUGCUAGCUGCUUCGAGUGAGGUUAGCUUUCAUUCUCAUAUUUACUUCAAAACUAGAUUGGUAACACUAUUUCCUCCUGGUCUUGUUGGUUUCUGUUGUUUGCCCGGCCGGCCAUUUCUGGCUUUGGAUUUGGUGAUUCAGUCCUUUGAGAACCAAGUGUGGGAUGUGGUUUGCAAAUGUGCAUGGGAGAAAGCUUGGGGAUGGAUGGAAUUGCUUUCCCAUAGCCGUUUUAAAAAAGAAUUGGACUAUCGUACGUAUGUGAAAGCGAGGUGGUGAUUGUUUUUUCAACAAGUGUUCGCUCUCAACUAGCAUUAGUAGUACUUUUGAUAUCGCACUGAUACCACUAAACAAAUAAUUAUCUCCAACACCUUCGACCAAUCAAUUUGUUCAGAAAAAUCUACAAGAACAUCUCGUAAACUAAUUUACUUUGGUCGAAAAUCGUCAAAUUUUACUUCAAACAGUGGGUAUAAGUGAUAAAAGUUUGACACCAAAUACUAUUCUACGUGGUUAUUUGUACACGUGUAACAUGUUGAUGAGUUUCAUCAAUUGAUUUGGUCUCUACACUUCAAUUUUACUAUUACUCAAAAAGAAUGGUCUUCCCAUGGAACCCAGUCAGUAAAAUCACGCUAGAUUUGCCCCUGACUUCAGUUUUAAUAUGGUGUUUUUUUGUUUUUACACAUAUAAUUAAAUCAAGGUAUUUGCUUAAUAGGUACCUAUUAUAUUUUUUAUUUAUCUUUUAGUCCCUAAAUUUUAAAUUUAGUCCAAACAUAUUUCCAUUUAGCAUGUAUAUUUAGAUCGAGGGUUUGAACUUAAUAAGCAAAAUAAACUUUUACCAUCUCGUUUCUCCAAUUCUUCGUGUCGAGAUUAAUUACAAAUCCACCUUCUCCAAGGUUCUUUGUCUUACCAUCUCAAUUCUUCAAUUCAGAAUCCAAACAUUCUUCUCAUCUUACUUCUGCCCAUACUACCACGUUCGACCAAGCUUCUUCAGAUCUUGCAUUUCAAAUCCAAACCUCCUUAUCAUUCUAUUAUUAUUUUUUUCAUUAAGAUACCAUUCCAAAGUUGAACAUCGACCAUUUUUGUUUGCUCUUGCAAUAGAAUCGCUUUUGCAAGUGUUAGUGAAGGGUCAUGAAGAAAAGUUCCAAUUCAAGUGGAAGGAUGAGGGCUUAGGAACCAGAAGUUUCACCAAGCAAAAGUCACCGUCCUGCGAUUACCAUCUCCGUCCUAGCAUCUGUCGACGCCGUUCUCCGCAACACUGUCAAGAAUCUGCACUUGUACGUUAGACUUCGGCCGCCACUUCUCAUAAAAACUCGUCCUCAUCAUCCACGAUUCCCACGAAACAUCGUGUAAUUUCGUGAAGAUGUGGAAUUAUUAGCACUGGCGAAUUGCUUUUAAUUUUUACGAAGAGCCCUAAUUCAGUAACUCCUGACAGUAACCCCUUUUUGUCCUAUAAUAACUCUUAAUAGUAAGUAACACGAGUACAAGAGUGAAUGAAACAAUGAAUUGAACUCGCUACGUUUAAUUCUCAGUUUGGUAUUUGGGGUUUUCAGUUGCAAUCGUGAAUGAUCGAUUUUUAUCAGAUUCAUAAAGUUUUUUGACUAAAUUAAUCUCGUAUCAAUUGUGAAAUAAUAUUAAAACUCAAAGACUUCAAUGCAUAUAGAAACUGAUGAGGGGUUAAGUAGAAAUUAAUAAUCCAAAAAUCCACAUGGGAUGCCUCGCAAUAUGACACGCUGGCUUCCCAUAAGGGGUGUAUCGACACACCCGAAUGCACCAAAGAAUUCACUUUAAAUCUGAAAAAAAGUUAACAAUUGAUGCAUAAAAAGACACCAUUUUUUUGGUCGAGAUACUAAAAAUGCUCUAAUAUAUUCAUUAUACUAAUUAAGAUAAUACAAAAUAGCCGUGUAUAUUAUUGAUUUACAUUAAGGAACGUAAAUGAAGGACAAUAAAUCUAAUCAAUGGACCGUUUUCGGCAAUGAAAUCAAUUGUCAAAAGAGUUACUUAGGGGGUAGCGUGAUUGGAGAAAAUGGAAUUAUGGAGGAGACAUUUAAUCAGAAAAGAAGUUAAUGGCUGUAUUAUUUAUUUAAUUAAUUAUCAAUUGAAAACCCAAUAUGAGACGGCAUAAAAAUACAGGAGUAAUUAAUUAAUUUAUGAAUUAAUUAUCAAUAAAUGAUUCUACUUUAGACCGUUUUCGAAAAUAAUAAUAUCACCACCACCAUAAUCGUUGAGGAAGAGUCCGAUAACUGUCGGAUGAAUCUAAUUACAGAUGUACCGUUAACGUUGACGAAGACUUCUGACGUUAAAAAAAAAGGCACCAUCAGAUUUAAUAUUUCAUAUCAAUACUGUUGGAAAGUGGAAACUAGCAGUUUGUUAUUAAGCACUUUUCAAGUUAAAGCCGCCGUCAACAAGAACAUUCAACCCACUAACAAACUUUGAAUCCUCACUCGCCAGGUACAGCGCCGCCUCCGCCACGUCAUCAGCUUCCAAGACCGCCCCUCCC